AAUUUUUUUUUUUUUUUGAAAAGCCUGACCCCAGAGUAUGCCAGAUCCGCCACAAACAUAGGGAAUCCACUGUUCACACGGAUAGAGUCUCCCCUGUAUUUGCACGGCGUCACACAAGUACAAGAAGUAACCCAGGUACAACCACAACCAAAUGAACAUACAAAUAACCAACAACUAUAUAUUCAUAUACCAUUCACAUCACAGGUUCACAUUUAUAUAAUCGAUAUUUAAACAUAAAUCCACAGAAAACCUUUUGAAAACAGUUUCCUACACGGAAACCUUUAUUCUUUAAAAAUGCUACCACGAGGGGUAGAAAAU
rnacentral:lncRNA from 1 species